UACGGAGGGGCUAGCGUUGUUCGGAAUUACUGGGCGUAAAGCGCACGUAGGCGGAUUGGAAAGUCAGAGGUGAAAUCCCAGGGCUCAACCUUGGAACUGCCUUUGAAACUCCCAGUCUUGAGUUCGAGAGAGGUGAGUGGAAUUCCGAGUGUAGAGGUGAAAUUCGUAGAUAUUCGGAGGAACACCAGUGGCGAAGGCGGCUCACUGGCUCGAUACUGACGCUGAGGUGCGAAGGCAUGGGGAGCGAACAGG
rnacentral:rRNA from 1 species